AUUAUGUAAUAAGGUAAGCAAUUAAUAUAAAUGUAUAACUGAAAACAUUUGAUAAAAUUUAAGUUUGAUUUCUACAUGAUGAGCUCUAAGCUUUCGCCCCUAUCUGAAAAUAAAGAGAAACUUCCAGUGUUGAAUGCGUGAUUGGUCUUACUGAAAAUCAUUUUAAAAUACUAUAUUAAAACCCAUUUAUAAAAUUAAGCUUAUAAACUGUGAAUUUACAUUGCAGGCUUACUACGGAUUUAAUUUUCGAGACGAUUAUAUUUGUAAAGGUAAAAUUUCUUUUUUAUUUAAAGUAACAUAUAGUGUGUAUACUGAUGACAAAGGAAAUCUGAAUGUGUUAUGAUUCACUUAUACCGCAACAACCCAAUCCUCAAAAAUAGGUCCUACUGAACUAAAACUCUAAUUAAAGCUUUGAUGGAUCCCUCGCGUUUACGGUAAUUACGAGGUGAGUCUAUUUACAAUCGUGGCUUCAUAAAGCAUACACCUUUAAAAUGAUGAAAAAGGAAAU